rnacentral:ncRNA from 1 species
CAGCACGAUGUUGCGGAAGCUGACCCCCUUGAGCCGCGCGGUGCGGAUGUAUUGCGCGGUCAUGACCUCGGUCAUCGAGGCGCGGGUCAUGCGCGCGAUAUAGCCCAUCCCGUAAAGCGCGACCGUCAGCACCGGCAGGGUGAAAUUCUCGAAGGU